CGUGAUGACGCAGGACGCAGUGACUCCCUGCCUUAGCCAUCUUCCAGAGGUUCUGGGCCCGAGGGAGGUGUUCACCCCGGUACCUGUUUUCCAGCCCAGAAGUGGGUGUGAGGCCGGAUUACGCCCAGGCAAAUUCUUUGUAGCCAGACAUCAAGAUGGACUGGGCAAAAGAGCUUAACGCCUCCUAAUUGCAUCACCUAAUUUUUGACAGAGAAUUACAGUGAUCCUGGUAGAUAAAUACUGCAACCCAAGAGCAUUCUAGUAGGUAUGGCUUUAGAAAUGCCCUUCAGAGUCGAGGCCUGUAGGCCAGGAGCUUUAUAGUCCUUCCCUCCCGCUUUUACUAUAUCUCUACGGUAGACAAUAAAAUAUCUUUUCCUCCAUAGUAGCGUAGCAGUGCUGAGGCAUUGGACAAUGGAUGCUAGGUCUGCUGUGACCAGAGUGGAGCUUGUGUUGGCAGUCUGGUGGAGAUGGGGAGAGCAACUGGAACGGCUCUUCAGGAAUUCUAGCUUCGAUGAAGAAACUGGGUUUAAGGCUGAGGCCAUGGAAGUCUUCUAAAGGCUUAAUUUGGAAGAUGAUUUCCCUGCUGGGCUGUGAAAGUCAAGGUGGGGAAAGAUGAAGAUUCUGUUACCGAGGAGCAAAACGGAUGAAGAAAGGGUCGUUGGAAAACUGACGAAGCGGUCCAGUUUAAGUCCAAAUGACAGCGUGGGGGUAAGGAGGAGAGAAAGCAGAGGUGAUAAAGGAGGAGACAGCUGUCAACCUCAAGAGGACAGAGCCAAAGAAGUGCAUUUGGGGAGUCGGGGAGGUGAUGGUGGAGGCGGAGAUGAAAUUUGAUUUGUUUUACAGAAGAGAGAACACAAGACGGCAAGGGAAAGGGAUGUAUCCAGAAAACCGAGAACCGCAAAUGGUGGUGAGGUCCUGGAGAAAGAGGAACCCUCGAUCACUGGGGGCGGCUGUGUAAGCUGGUCCAGCCACUGUGGAACUCUGCAUGGAGUUAGUUUCUCAACAAAUGAAGAACAGAACUACAAUAUGACCAGCUGUACUACUUCUGUGUCCGUACCUGAAGGAUUCUCAGUCGUAACAGCUUAAGGAGUGAACCUAGGUUAGAUGCACAUCGACGCUUGGAAUUUUAUUGGACCAUAAAGGAGAAUGAAAUCAAGACAUUUCCAGGUCUGAAAUAUAUCUAUGACAUCUGAGAAAAGAUGGUGAGAGUGUCCCGACAGCCCAACAAGUACAAGCUGGAGCCCCGGUGUAGGGGUCAUUGACUGGUGGAAAAGACGAGGCUGUGGGGAUGCCGUGUGGGUCCUGCAGAAGAAGCAUCAGGAUUGGAGACUGAAAAACUCAGGAGCCCAACAUUGCAGUGCUGGAUCCGCUGGAGAAGGAGGAGGUGAAGGGGGCCUAUAAUUCAGCAGCUGCGUAGGCCGAGACAAGAGAACAACUAUCCAGAGGCCAGUCUGAACUAUAUUGUGAGGCACCAUCAUUAAUUAUUAAUUAGCAGUAAUAUAGGGUGGGUUUUAUGGGGGAUUAGCGGGUGCUACAUCUUCAGAGAAGGGGAGGGAAGCUGACUCUGUGGGAAAGACAAAGGGCAACGGGGAACGAUAGCUGUUAGAAGGAAAGCAGGGACAGCAGGAAGCAGAAACGAGAUCCGGGCUGUAGUGGACUCGCUAACAGCCAAGCAACGCUUCCGCUUCCGGUGCUUUGCUUUUCAAAGUCCUCCACAGCUUCUCAUGGGGACCAGGACCUUCGUGCCCCACACCUGGAAUCCCAACACUUGGUCUCUGAGGCCAGUUCAAGUUCAAGGCCAGUCCAAGCAACCAAGUAUGUUUUUAUCUUAAAGGGGGAGAGGCCAUAAAAAGAAAUGCAGAAUCUCUCACGUGUUGGGUGUCCUCACUGAGUCAGACUCUGGCUUUAUUUAAUAAGGUCUUCCAGGAGAUCCAGCUGCUUGAGAUCAUUAUGUAGUAGGCAGAGGGAGAGGAAACAUGAGCGACUUAGAGCAGACUGGUGAAGUUUACAAGGGAAAUACAGGAGGAGGGGUUUUUAGUCUGAGCUAUAGAGGAAUGGGUAUACCCUGUGGUCGGUAGUUCUUGUUUUAAUUUAAUUUAAGAAAAACAUGCAUUAAAAGUGAUCUGGGAACUGGCAGCAGUAAGGUGGGCAUCAGCACUAUGCCCUGAUACAUACCCCUCCCAAAUAACUAACAACUUACAGGAAGUAAAAAUCCUACUGAAAGUUGCCUUUUCCUUACAGCAAUAAAGUAAGUGAAUGGAUAAAUGAAUGAAGGAAGGAAGGAACAAAUAAAUACUUCUAAAGAAGACCAUUCACAUUGAUCAACAAACCAAGGGCACCGGCCAAACAUCUCCAUGUUAUCUUUCUUUCAUUUUUUUCACCUACAUAGACAGAUCACACAGAGAUUCUAUCCCGACAUGCAUUAAAUGGAAGAGAAUAAUUUUCUCUUAGCAUAGCAAUCUAAAGUGCAAAACGCACACAAACAGUUUAUUAACUGAAUAAGUCACAGCUCCUCUACAGUAAGGGGUUGUACUAAACUGUUGGUGUUUUUGUUAUUGUUGUAUGUGUUUUAAGUCUUUUUUUUAAAAUGGUGGUUAUUUUCCUACCAUACUUUCUGUGUUUCCUUAAAACAUUAUCUAAGAGUCAUACCGUGCUAUGUUCUCAUAUUCAGUCUUAGGCAAUAAAUUUUUGUAUAGCCAAGAUUAACAGUCUCAUGUUCACAAUCAAGUUUCAGGAAUUCAGUUCAUUUCAGUAAUGGCAGUAUAAAGUUCCCUUAAGAGUUAGUGUGCUAAUAAAGCCAGUCUUAACUAUGAGCUAUUAACAACAACAACACAACACAGCUGAUACUGUGCUUCCAAUUACCACUGUAGAACAUGGCUCUCACAUUGUUAUUUGUGUCCACCCACAAAGAUAUUAAAUUUUCUAUCAUUAAGUAACAUGGUAUUUGUCUUGCAAAUUUAACUACUCCAUUUGUCUUUCCAUAUGGGUAUAAGGCUAAGUUUCUAUACAUUGCUCUCAUAAAAUACAGUGAUGAGGAAUUAUCAUAGAACACAAAAUAAAGAUGUUUGCUAUCUGAUUAUAAGUAAAAUACCACAUAGAUGAAUAUCCCAUUAAGAGUGAAUUAAAAUAUCGAAUGUACGCCUAUUAUUUUUAAAUAACUGCUAAGUUGGUAGGAUUAAACGUAUAAGUUUGAAUCUAUUUAAUAAAUGCAACUGUUUUUUGUCUUGCUUAAAAGCCAUGUGAAACUUAUGGACACACUAAAAAUAUCCUAAAAAUAGAAAAUAUAGGAACCCCGUUGUAGUUCAACUAUUCACUUGAGAAGCUGGAAACUUCAGGACCAGGGAAACAAGUUUAGAUUCUAGGGUUUGUUGAUCUUACUGCAGUUCAAAUAUACUUUGUCUCUCUCUUUAA